GUCUGGAGCCACUUUAACAACAUGUGGACUCGGUUGCAGGAGCUGGGGGGACGUGCCUGUCUACGCCACGAAAAGAGAGAGAAAAAGCGUUUGCACAAAGGAGGUGGGGAAAGACAGAGGCACCCAUGAAAGACUCAACUGAAAAUCAGAAUCAUCUUUGGAAGGAAGCAAACUAAAGUAGCGUCUAAGGACCUCUGGGUGAUGAACGGCUCGCUCAAGCAACAAAAACAACCCACAUUCCUAAAGGUAACUCCUUCAGGGAGCACAUGCCAUGCUGUCAACUUGUCUGCUCACUCUGUCACAAUCUGGGAUUUGCAGAGUGUGUGAGAACGACAACAACUAACACAGGAUGGACCCCAAAGAACAAGCAGUGAGCCUCUUGGACAAGAUUUGGGCCAAACUGCAGGGUCUGCCAAACGCCACCCCCGUGGAGCUGGGAGCUUUCUUCAUCCUCUUAACAUUCAUCAUGGUCGUUGUCAUCACGACGGUGGUGAUCUGUGCAAGCUUCUGCUGCUGCUGCUGCAGCAAAGCCAAAAGGAGGGAGCAGACAUUUACAAGCAUCUAAACUACAUGCCAAAACUUAAAACAGGUUUUUGCCAAGGCUGCCAAGUCGCACAAUGAGAGCAAGUGUCAGGACUAGAAGUACUGCUCAUGCAACUGGGCAGGGUGUGUUCAGCCCUCCAAAAACAAAGCAACUCUCACUAACAAAGAUGUCCUGACUUACUUCUAAACACAUCUGCUGAAGUUCCCAGACUUUCAGGACUAUCAACAUUCCUUGGAUUGCCCAUGUACAAUAACACUGUUCUUGGCAGGAGGAUGAGACACACAAACUAUAUUUAAACGUAUAAAUAAAUCCAUCCAUUUUCUAUACCGCUUCAUCCUCAUUAGGGUCACGGGGGCAUGCUGGAGCCUAUCCCAGCUGACUUCGGGCGACAGGCUG